UCCCUAGUGGCUCAGAUGGUAAAGAGUCUGCCUGCAAUGUAGGAGACCUGGGUUCUAUCCCUGGCUUGGGAA
rnacentral:tRNA from 1 species